CCCUUGUGGAGGAGGACGCCGAAGGUGGGGCUAAUGACUGGGGUGAAGUCGUAACAAGGUAGCCGUACCGGAAGGUGCGGCUGGAUCACCUCCUAACAGGGAGACAACAAAAUGUUUAAUAUUAUUUUGUCACCUUAGGUCGAUCGGUAUCUCACGUUUUUAAUUUAUUAAGAAUUUCAUUUCCUAAGUUUUUCUAGGUCACACCCAUUAUUUUCCUGGGCCAUUAGCUCAGGUGGUUAGAGCGCACCCCUGAUAAGGGUGAGGUCCCUGGUUCAAGUCCAGGAUGGCCCAUAUCUCUAUGUUGGGGGUAUAGCUCAGUUGGUAGAGCGCCUGCUUUGCAAGCAGGAUGUCAGCGGUUCGAGUCCGCUUACCUCCACUGAUCACCACCUCUUCCAUAAUCGGUAGAAAGGAAAAUUUUUUGAGUUGUGAUCAAAUUCUGAACGAAUCUAGCUUCCUAAUUUAAUCAUUAAGAUGCUGGACUCAUUGAAUUAAUUUCAUUGUUUUCAGAGAACCUUGACAACUGCAUAGAUUAUUUUUAAAGACAAUAAGCAUCUUUAAUGAUGCAGAUUUAUUAUUUGUGCGAAUGCAUUAAUAACAAUUCUAUUAAGCUGAUGCUUCAAUUUUGAAGUUAUUGGUCAAGCUACAAAGGGCUCACGGAGGAUACCUA
rnacentral:misc_RNA from 1 species